rnacentral:rRNA from 1 species
GCUAGUAAUCGCAGAUCAGCAUGCUGUGGUGAAUACGUUCCCGGGCCUUGUACACACCGCCCGUCACACCAUGGGAGUCGGUAACACCCAAAGUUGGUAGUCUAACCGCAAGGAGGACGCCGCCUAAGGUGGGAUUGAUGACUGGGGUGAAGUCGUAACAAGGUAAC